rnacentral:rRNA from 1 species
UACGUAGGGUGUGAGCGUUGUCCGGAAUUAUUGGGCGUAAAGGGCUCGUAGGCGGCCAACUAAGUCAGACGUGAAAUCCCUCGGCUUAACCGGGGAACUGCGUCUGAUACUGGAUGGCUUGAGUUUGGGAGAGGGAUGCGGAAUUCCAGGUGUAGCGGUGAAAUGCGUAGAUAUCUGGAGGAACACCGGUGGCGAAGGCGGCAUCCUGGACCAACACUGACGCUGAGGAGCGAAAGCCAGGGGAGCAAACGGG